GACGAACGCUGGCGGCGUGCCUAAUACAUGCAAGUAGAACGCUGAAGGAAGGAGCUUGCUCUUUCUGGAUGAGUUGCACACGGGUGAGUAGCGCGUAGGUAACCUGCCUGGUAGCGGGGGAUAACUAUUGGAAACGAUAGCUAAUACCGCAUAAAAUUGAUUAUUGCAUGAUAGUCAAUUAAAAGGUGCAACUGCACCACUACCAGAUGGACCUGCGUUGUAUUAGCUAGUUGGUGGGGUAACGGCGCACCAAGGCGACGAUACAUAGCCGACCUGAGAGGGUGAUCGGCCACACUGGGACUGAGACACGGCCCAGACGCCUUCGGGAGGCAGCAGUAGGGAAUCUUCGGCAAGGGACGGAAGACUGACCGAGCAACGCCGCGGGAGGGAAGAAGAGUGUCGGAUCGUAAAGCUCGGUUGUAAGAGAAGAACGAGUGUGAGAGUGGAAAGUUCACACUGUGACGGUAUCUUACCAGAAAGGGACGGCUAACUACGUG
rnacentral:rRNA from 1 species